rnacentral:rRNA from 1 species
CCCCUAGAUGUUCUGGGCCGCACGCGCGCUACACUGAACAGUUCAACAAGUCUUAACCUUGGCCGAUAGGUCUGGGUAAUCUUUGAACGCUGUUCGUGAUUGGGAUAGACCUUUGCAAUUAUGGGUCUUCAACGAGGAAUUCCUAGUAAACGCAAGUCAUCAGCUUGCAUUGAUUACGUCCCUGCCCUUUGUACACACCGCCCGUCGCACAUACCGAUUGAAUGGUCCGGUGAAAUCUCGGGACGGCGGCUUGGUCGCUUGCGUCCGACUGCUGAAACUUGAUUAAACCAUAUCAUUUAGAGGAAGGUGAAGUCGUAACA